rnacentral:rRNA from 1 species
GACGAACGCUGGCGGCGUGCCUAAUACAUGCAAGUCGAGCGAAAAGACGAUUUGCUUGCUCCUCUGACGUCAGACGCGGACGGAAGAGUAACAUAAGCUUCACACAACUUUAAGACAAGGCUAACUAACUGAAACCAGAGCUAGUAACGUACAAUUUCUGCAUGCUGGGGGUUGAAUAGUGCCAGACGGUGUGGAUGUAAUCUCUACCUGGAACCGCGCUGCAUUAGCUAGUUGGUAAGGAAGCGGCUUACCAAGGCAACGAUGCGUAGCCGACCUGAGAGGGUGAUCGGCCACACUGGAACUGAGACACGGUCCAGACUCCUACGGGAGGCAGCAGUAGGGAAUCUUCCGCAAUGGGCGAAAGCCUGACGGAGCAACGCCGCGUGAGUGAUGAAGGUCUUCGGAUCGUAAAACUCUGUUAUUAGGGAAGAACAAAUGUGUAAGUAACUAUGCACGUCUUGACGGUACCUAAUCAGAAAGCCACGGCUAACUACGUG